UGUAAAAGGAAGGUAGACUAUCCCUGUAAGAGGAAGUUAGACUAUUCCUGUAUAAUAAGGUUUACUAUGCCUGUAAAAGGAAGGUAGACUAUCCCUGUAGGAGGAAGUUAGACUAUUCCUGUAAAAGGAAGGUAGACUAUCCCUGUAGGAGGAAGUUAGACUAUUCCUGUA